GCUCCCUGACCCGAUGAAACCCAGAAACCUGCAACAGGAUCCGACCGGCGCUACUUCGUCCAGCCACCGAUCGACGACGGCCGAGCACCAUCUUCUUCACCUCUUCGUCGCCUACACCCUCGUGCUCUUAGAUAGUCCAUGCACUGAACGGAGAAGAAAACCCGACGACGAGAAUCCUGAACCAUCACCGGCAACCUCUGCAAUUUCAGGCGAAUCCGGCCACCGUUUGGGCUAUCUGUGCUACGACUUUGCUGUUCUUGAGCGCCGGCGACUUUUCCGGCAUUUCUGGUCUUGGUUUCGGCUUCAGUUGAAGCUCUAGACGAGAGGUUGUGAAGCUGUUUGGGUCGUAGCACGUGGGAUCAUCAGCUUAACCCUUUCCCAAUCCCGGCAGUGCGUUAGGCUCAGUUGCAGUCGACACUUCCGAAGGACUCCAGUUAUCCGAGGAGCGGAAUGUUCGCGACUCUCGGAGUACAUGAGAGAAAGCAUUGGAAUCUAGAAAUGUGAUGGCUUGAGAGCGAAGGGUGGCUCUGACUUCCUUGGGUUCGAUCCCCAAAACCUCCGGAGGGUUAGUUACACCGGUCGGACGGUGAGCGAUCGCAAUGACGACCCGAUCCGUGUGUGUAGCUAGGUAGCGGACGCUCUCGCUACACUUACCUGGUGAUAAAUUAAAUUGAGGUAAGGUCGUGUAAUGGGUCUAUGGGACCGGCCAUCAGGUAAAACUUGGAUUUGGCGCCGUAUUUAUUUAAGCAUCGUGCAUCAGUUUUCAAGUUGAAAAACAUUAAAGUUUUGUCGUUCCUUUAAAUAUUUGGUUUAAGCAUGUGUUCAUACUGGAGCUCCAACAUUUAUCUGUUGAUUUUCAAACCUAGUCGAGUUAGAGUUCCUGUUGAGCAGCGAGGACGAAAGCUCACCCCUACAAUAGUAUGAAUGCAGGUACUGUGCACUGGUGACGGUACAAUAGCGGAUGGAGCUGGGUGUGCAGAACAAGUUCGGUAAAUUACCGUGUGAACCUUAUUCUAAAUUCUAUUUCUCGAAGUUUGUGUUCUGGAACUUGUGGUUAUCUAAUCUCGUGUCAUCAUUUAGUUGAAUUCUCUUCAAGUGAAAUUCAACCUUGUGUGAGCCUUUAUCCAAGUUCUGGACGAAUGAAAUAGAUUUCAGCAACUCAAGUUUUUCACCUCAAGAAUAUUUGUAACUUCUGCUGUGUUUGUACAAAAAAUUUUUUCAAACAAAAUGCCUAGCGAUUCUCUAGGAUGUAAAUCGAGCGUUCGGUUUAUGUUUUAGAGACUCGCGGCACUGUGACGUGCUUAAGCUGGUGAGGUGCAGCUUGGGGCGUUACAAGUGUCCUGUGCCAGAUUGCACCUUAUUGCCCUGUAUUUAUAGACCGUUUUGCCUUGUGGAAAGGCCAUGAAUGAAAAAUCAGUUUUUAUCUUCUUAUUUCCUUUGGUUUUUCUUUAGCUUUCUUCUUUUACGAUGUCAUUUUCCGGUUACGAUCUCGGGGAUCGUAACAACUGGUAUCAGAGCCUGCAAUUGGGCCUUUUUCUGGUGAGUCUGGCGGUGUACGGCGGUGGGAUCUCCGGUAGGUGUUACAGCACUCAUUCUUAUCACCCUCAGGGUAGCCCUAGCUACCCACCACCUCCUUCUCAAUUUCCUCUGUUGCUCAUCUGUCUUCUCUUGUUAAUAGUUUAACGGAAACUACCUUCUGUCAGCCAUGCUUUCACAUUGUUUGGUCUGUCCUAUUAAACAUUCUAUUACCAGAUAGAGUUUUGCAGGCUGUAGUUGCAUUGACUAAUUCAAAUUCCUAAAGGAGAGAAUCAUCCAUCUGUUGGUUCAGUUUUCAUCCGUCUGGCAGAUGUGUAUAACAGGACAGGUAAAGUUACGGAAUCAAUAUCAUACUGUGAGAAUGCACUUCGAGGACAUAGCGUUAAUUACUUGAAGGUUGUAGCAUCUGUAGUGAUUGGAUUUACUGUUUUGGUUACUUGGCAUUUGAUUAAGGGUGUUAAAGAGGACUCGAAAACUUAGGACAAGCUGCAGCAUGUUAGAAGUUGACUCUAAAAGUAAAACUUGAGGUCAAGUUUCUGUUUAAGGGGGAAGAAAUGUUAUGAAUCAUUUUGUUAAGUUCCCUAGUUUAAUUAGGUUGUUGCUGUGGGAGUGUGAAACGCUGAGUUUUGAUGCAUAGUAGAAGGAAUAUUAGGUUUUUUGUUUCUAGUAAAAGUCACAUAUAGUUGCUAGACAAGUGUCCUGUGCCAGCUUGCACCCUAUUGCCCUGUAUUUAUAGACCGUUUUGCCUUGUGGAAAGGCCAUGAAUGAAAAAUCAGUUU